rnacentral:pre_miRNA from 1 species
UUGGUGGAUUUGGAGACUUCAAUUUGCAGAUUUGGCAAAUUUGACGACGUCAACUUGCAAAUCUUGUAGAUAUAAAUUCUUCAACU